GACGAACCGUGCAAACGUUAUUCGGAAUCACUGGGCAUAAAGGGCGCGUAGGCGGCUCCAAAAGUCAGGGGUGAAAUCCGGCAGCUUAACUGUCGCAGUGCCUUUGAUACUGUGGAGCUAGAGGGAGGUAGGGGUCUGUGGAACUUCCGGUGGAGCGGUGAAAUGCGUUGAUAUCGGAAGGAACGCCGGUGGCGAAAGCGACGGACUGGAUCUCUUCUGACGCUGAGGCGCGAAAGCCAGGGGAGCAA
rnacentral:rRNA from 1 species